rnacentral:rRNA from 1 species
UAGCUAGUUGGUGAGGUAAAGGCUUACCAAGGCGACGAUCUGUAGCGGGUCUGAGAGGAUGAUCCGCCACACUGGAACUGAGACACGGUCCAGACUCCUACGGGAGGCAGCAGUGGGGAAUUUUGGACAAUGGGGGCAACCCUGAUCCAGCCAUGCCGCGAGAGUGAAGAAGGCCUUCGGGUUGUAAAGCUCUUUCGGCCGGGAAGAAAUCGCAUGGGUCAAUACCCUGUGUGGAUGACGGUACCGGAAUAAGAAGCACCGGCUAACUACGUGCCAGCAGCCGCGGUAAUACGUAGGGUGCGAGCGUUAAUCGGAAUUACUGGGCGUAAAGCGUGCGCAGGCGGUUUUGUAAGACAGGCGUGAAAUCCCCGGGCUUAACCUGGGAACUGCGUUUGUGACUGCAAGGCUAGAGUACGGCAGAGGGGGGUGGAAUUCCACGUGUAGCAGUGAAAUGCGUAGAGAUGUGGAGGAACACCAAUGGCGAAGGCAGCCCCCUGGGUCGAUACUGACGCUCAUGCACGAAAGCGUGGGUAGCAAACAGGAUUAGAUACCCUGGUAGUCCACGCCCUAAACUAUGUCAACUAGGUGUUGGGUGGGUAAAACCAUUUAGUACCGUAGCUAACGCGUGAAGUUGACCGCCUGGGGAGUACGGCCGCAAGGUUAAAACUCAAAGGAAUUGACGGGGACCCGCACAAGCGGUGGAUGAUGUGGAUUAAUUCGAUGCAACGCGAAAAACCUUACCUACCCUUGACAUGCCAGGAACUUGCCAGAGAUGGCUUGGUGCCCGAAAGGGAGCCUGGACACAGGUGCUGCAUGGCUGUCGUCAGCUCGUGUCGUGAGAUGUUGGGUUAAGUCCCGCAACGAGCGCAACCCUUGUCGUUAAUUGCCAUCAUUUGGUUGGGCACUUUAACGAGACUGCCGGUGACAAACCGGAGGAAGGUGGGGAUGACGUCAAGUCCUCAUGGCCCUUAUGGGUAGGGCUUCACACGUCAUACAAUGGUCGGUACAAAGGGUUGCCAAGCCGCGAGGCGGAGCCAAUCCCAGAAAGCCGAUCGUAGUCCGGAUUGCAGGCUGCAACUCGCCUGCAUGAAGUCGGAAUCGCUAGUAAUCGUGGAUCAGCAUGUCACGGUGAAUACGUUCCCGGGUCUUGUACACACCGCCCGUCACACCAUGGGAGCGGGUUCCGCCAGAAGUAGGUAGCCUAACCGCAAGGGGGGCGCUUACCACGGCGGGGUUCGUGACUGGGGUGAAGUCGUAACAAGGUAGCCGUAGGAACCUGCGGCUG